rnacentral:rRNA from 1 species
UACGUAGGGGGCAAGCGUUGUCCGGAUUUAUUGGGCGUAAAGAGCGUGUAGGCGGCCAGGUAGGUCAGCUGUGAAAACUCCAGGCUCAACCUGGAGCCGCCAUUCGAUACUGCUAUGGCUAGAGUCCGGUAGGGGAGUGUGGAAUUCCCGGUGUAGCGGUGAAAUGCGCAGAUAUCGGGAGGAACACCGAUGGCGAAGGCAGCACUCUGGGCCGGCACUGACGCUGAGGAGCGAAAGCGUGGGGAGCGAACAGG